rnacentral:rRNA from 1 species
UACGUAGGGGGCGAGCGUUGUCCGGAGUUACUGGGCGUAAAGCGCUUGUAGGCGGUCCACCAAGUUUGGGGUGACAGUUGCCGACUUAAUCGGCAAAGUGCCUCAAAGACUGGCGGACUUGAGGGCCACAGAGGGACAUGGAACACCAGGUGUAGUGGUGAAAUGCGUAGAUAUCUGGAAGAACACCAAAGGCGAAGGCAGUGUCCUGGGUGGUCGCUGACGCUGAGAGGCGAAAGCCAGGGGAGCGAACGGG